GAGAUGCACCAGGGGUGCCUGUAUCUGCAUAGCAUGCUAGCAGUUCAGGCUGAGACAGUCCCUUCGAACCUGAUCAGGGUGAUGCCUGCGUAGGGAGCGUGCAUUGUUUUUCUC
rnacentral:ncRNA from 2 species